CCUACGGGAGGCAGCAGUAGGGAAUAUUGCACAAUGGGCGAAAGCCUGAUGGAGCAACGCCGCGUGGGUGAAGAAGGUCUUCGGAUCGUAAAACCCUGUUGUUAGAGAAGAAAGUGCGUGAGAGUAACUGUUCACGUUUCGACGGUAUCUAACCAGAAAGCCACGGCUAACUACGUGCCAGCAGCCGCGGUAAUACGUAGGUGGCAAGCGUUAUCCGGAUUUAUUGGGCGUAAAGGGAACGCAGGCGGUCUUUUAAGUCUGAUGUGAAAGCCUUCGGCUUAACCGGAGUAGUGCAUUGGAAACUGGGAGACUGGAGUGCAGAAGAGGAGGGUGGAACUCCAUGUGUAGCGGGGAAAUGCGUAGAUAUAUGGAAGAACACCAGUGGCGAAGGCGGCUCUCUGGUCUGUAACUGACGCUGAGGUUCGAAAGCGUGGGUAGCAAACAGGAUUAGAUACCCUUGUAGUC
rnacentral:rRNA from 1 species